UACGGAGGGUGCAAGCGUUACUCGGAAUCACUGGGCGUAAAGAGCGCGUAGGCGGGAUAGCAAGUCAGAUGUGAAAUCCUAUGGCUUAACCAUAGAACUGCAUUUGAAACUAUCGUUCUUGAGUGUUGGAGAGGCAGGCGGAAUUCCGUGUGUAGCGGUGAAAUGCAUAGAUAUAACUUAGAACACCGAUAGCGAAGGCAGCUUACCAGACUGAGUCUGACGCUGAUGCACGAGAGCAUGGGUAGCGAACAGG
rnacentral:rRNA from 1 species